UCACAAUAAAGCAAGAUAAUAAAACAGACGCGCACUUAGGAAUGACUACAGUUACAUAAAACUUCUUCAAAAAACAAGAAAAUCGCAUCCAGAACAUUUAUAGAUAAAAACAUCCUUGCCAGAAGAUAGAGACUUUGACUUUUAUCUCUGAUAUCCACUCCAGUCAACAAGGACGCAGCUAAUGUAAGUGACCUGCGAUCUAAUCAGUCUUAUGUAGGAAGACCGUAUCAAAGCUGAAAGAUGAACUCAGUGUUUUAACCAGUCGACUUGUGCCUCACAAUAUAAAAGCAACAAGAAAAUUAACAAUCACGAAGAAUAUGCUUACAGGAUAAUCACAUGCGAUAAUCAAUAAUAAUAUGUACAAGAAAUCUGGUUGAAUGUGCCUUUCACUACUAAAACUUUAUGAUAAAACCAAUGUUUAUCUCUAUUGAUAUCGACUUUAUUUUGCAGAAAAGAUUUUAAGUACAAUCGCAAAACUCCUUGAUGUAUACCUGCUUUAAUAGAUCACCAAUAAUCAAAACAUUUGAUGUUGUUCCAUCACCUGUAAUGUUAUCCUACAAUUAUGAUGAACAACAGAUUUUGUGAUUUAACUGCCAAAUCAUUAUUUACUUUCACAUUUCAUAAGUUUUACCUGAGCUGUGGCAACUUUGGCAAUCAGUGAGGCAGUUGGAUGUUGUAUUUGCUGAAAUUAUUUGCCAAACGAUGAUAUUUUAUCAUAAAGCUGACCAAAUGUACAUUAUUGUCUUGUCAUAACAAGAUAAUUAUAUAAAUUUAUGUAGAUUAUUACCAUUUCAUGUAAAAGAACAUUGCCAUCCUUGGUAAUUUUGAUAUCACCAGAUCCAGAAACCAACCUGUUUAUUAUUAACAUUAUGAAGCUACGUAAACCAGUUUAAGUAGUGCUCAAAUGGAAAAAUAAAUAGAAGAGAGGAUCUAGAGGGACUCGCAGAUGACAAUCAUUAUAAACACAUUAUAAAGACCGUGUUGCUGGCUAACUGAACACUUUAGAAUUAAACUGUUUCAACAAAGAAAUCCUGACGGCCGAACUAAAGCAUGUACAAACACGUGCUGCAAUGACGUUACAAAAAAGCUAUUUUCCAUUCAUCUUACAUUUUCAUUGUGCCUUUGGGACCAAGGUUCGUUUUAAGGACAUUUUGUAGACCAACUGCUGCACUUGUGUUAACUUGUAAGGCCGCAGCUGCUCGAGCAAAUUCUGCUUUGGGAUUUAAAGUUUGAAUCGCCGCCAUGAUGCUAAGUAUUCUGUCAUGAGAGAUACACGUUAUGAUAAUGUAGUAUAACAGUAAGCAAUUUGGGUCAUAAUACUGUACAUUUGGGGGUAACUAAGUACCACAAUAAGAUUGUAAAAGAUCAUCAGAACGCAUUGGGAAUACAUCAAUUUGUAAAAAUGAGAUCUCUUCAAAAAAAACCCUGCUUGGUGAUAAUAAACUGAUUGCAAAGCCUGUC